rnacentral:lncRNA from 1 species
UCUCCUUAAGAAUACUGCCUCCACUUACUCCCCUUCACUGACUUUUUAACCUAGUAUAAUUAGACUUUCUUCUUCAAAACUUGAAUAAACAGCUAUUGCCAGGGCCAACAGUGACCUAUUCAUUGCUAAAUCCAGUGGUCUUAGACAGUUAAUGACUUACUACAUUGUACCACACCCACUCUAUCAGUAAAUUGUCUUGAGUAUAGACCUAUGAUUUUAAUACCUUCAGAAUAUCUACUGCUACAAGCAAACUUCAGACAAUA